UGGGUUUGAUCCUCAGCACCACAUGUGAAUAAACAAAUAAAAUAAAGGUAUAUGUCCAUCUACAACUAAAAAAAAAAUUUAAAACUAGAUUGUAUAAUUUUAAAUAGAUAUUUAUGCUCCAAAUACUUUUCAAAGCUGAAAGCUCAUUAGAAAUCACAAAUAUGUUAUCUUUUUCCUUUUGCCAAAAUAAAAUUGAGGCCAGUCAUUAAUGUAGCUAGGAAAGGAAUUUGUUUUCCAGAAUUAGUAUUAUUAUUCAUUUUAAGCAUGAUCACAACCUAUUCUGAGUUUAUAAACUACUUCCACUUACCACCUUCAUGCAAGAUACAUUAUCUUAGUAUAGCAUUCGUGACUAACAUUAGGUCAAUUUAUUGAAAAAUGCAAAUAUCUGUUCACUAAAAGCUAUUAAAAAAAGAAAUUAAAGAACAUCCAAAUAAAUGGGGAGAGAUAACAUGUUAACAGAAUGGAAAACUCAAAUAUUGUUAAGAUGUCACUUCUCUCCAAACUUGAUAUACAGUGUUAACUUAAUACCGAUCAGAACUUUAACAUUUUUUGAGUAGAAAUUAUUAAAUGUAUCCUAAAACGUAUUUUUAAAAUCUUUUUUAAUAUUUGUUUUAGUUGUUGGUGGACACAAUAACCUUUAUUUUAUUUUUAUGUGGUGCUAAGGAUUGAACCCAGUUUCUCCCUCACAAGUCUAGGCAAGCGCUCUACCACUUAGCCAAAACCCCAACCCCUAAAAUACAUUUAAAUGACUAGAAUAUUCAGUGCAUACUUUCUGAAAAACAAAGUUGGAUAUCUUUGGAUAUGAUAUCAAGAUUUACUAUAAUGUAUAUAUGUACUAAUCAAGACAGUGUAGUAUUGAUAAAAGGUUAGGGAUAUAAAUCAGUAGAACAGAAUAGAAACAAUUCAGAUAAAGUUAAUUAAUUUUUCACAAGGUGACAAGGCAUUUUUUGGGAAAAGGGAAACCUUUUUAAUAAAUGAGAAUAGUGGAUAUUAUAUAUGAAGGAAAAAAUGAACCAAACAUAAAAUUUAAUGAUAAAAAUCUGACAGAAAAAUCUAAGCACCUAGGGACAGGCUAGAUUUCUAAGGUCAUUAGAAACCAUAAAAAUAAAAGUAACAUAAAAAUAAAAGUUGGAACUCCAUCAAAAUGAAAAACUUUCUUUCUUUGGAACAUAGUAUGAAAAGAAAAAUAAGCCCAGAGUAGGAGACAAUACUUAAUUUACUUAUAUCUUGACAAAGGAGUCACAUCAAGAAAAAGAACUUUUAAAACUCAGUAAUAAGAUAACCCAACAAAGAAUGGCAAAGGAUUUGAAUAGACAAUCACAGACAAAGAAAUGAAUAGCUAUUGAAAAUAUAAUCAGCAUUAAUAAUUAUCAGGGAAAUGCAAAUUAAAGACAGUAUCAAGUAUAGAUAAUGAUGUACAGCAGAUGGAACUUUCCUGUUACUAAUGAGAAAGUAAAAUAGUGCAACCAUUUUAGAACACUGGCAUUCUUUCACAAUUAAAUAUGCAAUUACCCAAGGUAUUUACCUCAGGAAUAUGAAAACAUUUAUUGAUAUAGAAGCUUAUACAACUGUUUGUGGCUUUCUGCAUAAAAGCCCAAUCUGGAAAUAGCUCAGAUAUCCAUGAAUAGAAGAAUAAUCAAAUUUUGCUGUAUCUGUAUAAAAAAACAAUAAACAGUAAUGAAAUUAACCACUGAUAGAUGCAACAAGAUUGAUGGAUCUUAAAAAUGUUCUAAAUAAAUCAGACACAAAGAGUUCAUAUUUUAUGACUCAAAAUUAAUACAUUCUUGAAUAAGAAAAAGUAUAUUUAUGAAAAAAAUCAAUGGUUUUCUGGGACCAGAAGUAGAUCUGGGAACUGACUAUAA
rnacentral:lncRNA from 1 species